CUGCAGUGUGGAGAAUGGAUUGGAGGGGUCAGAAUGAAUGUAGAGAGAAUUCAAAGGCUCCUGCAGGAGUCCAAGCAAGAGGAUUGCAGAUUGUAGCCUGGAAGAGGCCAGUAGCUGUGGUGACAAUGGACACCAGGUGGAUAUGUUGGAGAGACACUUAGAAGGGUCUCACUCUGUCACCCAGACUGGAGUACACUGGUGUGAUCUCGGCUCACUGCAACCUCCGCCUCCCAGGCUCAAGUGAUUCUCCUGCCUCAGCCUCUCGAGUAGCUGGAAUUACAAGCAUGUGCCACUACCACCCUGCUAAUUUUUGUAUUUUUAGUAGAGAUGCGGUUUCACCAUGUUGGCCAGGCUGGCCUUGAACUCAUGACCUUAAAUGAUCCACCCGCCUCAGCCUCCCAAGUGCUGGGAUUUUAGGUGUGAGCCACUCGCCUGGCAGAAAGACUGUCUUCUGAAAAGGACUUUUGGGAGUGAAAUAACAUCAGCUCUAAGUGACUCAUGUGCCUAUAUCCACCUGGUUGGUGGUGAAGAGGAGUUGAAAGGAAUGAAGGAUUCUAGGACAGAAGGUUCCUAUUGAGAAGACACUUUCGGCUAUAACCACUGUUACGUGUGUGUAAUUUAUUCAACACUACUGUGUAUAUAACGGACAAACAAAUCAUAUUUAAAACAUCAUCUAGUCUUUUUAGAUGUUUAGAAGUGCACAAAGUAUGUUAAAAGUAGAGGUAAAUAACACAUUUUGUAGAUAUCCUUUUGAUGUGAAAUAUUGUCUUUUGGAAAUUGAGCAAACCAAUUCCCUGAGCCGUACACAUUAUUAUAUCUGUGUCAGUUUGGGGAGGAAGGAGGAGCAGAAAGUACAAAGGGCUUUUCACCAGUGUGUUUAUGGUGAGGCACAUUGACUAUUAUCUUUUUUUUUUUUUUUUUGAGACGACGUCUCGCUCUGUCACCAAGCUGGGGUGCAGUGGCGCAAUCUUGGCUCUCUGCAACCUCUGCCUCCUGUAUUCAAGCGAUUCUCCUGCCUCAGCCUCCAGAGUACCUGGGACUACAGGUGUGCACCACCACACCCAGCUAAUUUUUGUAUUUUUAGUAGAGAAGGAGUUUCACCAUGUUUGCCAGGAUGGUCUUGAUCUAAGUCUGCAUUUUCUUUGUGCUGUGUAGAUAGCGUACAUAAGAGGACAAACCAAUCCUAAUCUAUAUCAUCUAGUCUUUGUAGAUGUUAGAGAGGUCCAGUGCGUGACAAAAGUAGAUUUAGUGAAUUAAAACACUGAGUACGUUUUGUGUUAAAAUUCAUAGGGAAGACUGUUGUUAAAAACAUAGAAGUGGGCAGGGCACGGUGGCUCACGCCUGUAAUCCCAGCACUUUGGGAGGCUGAGGUGGGCAGAUCACUUGUGGUCAGGAGUUCAAGACCAGCCUGACCAAUAUGAUGAAAUCCUGUGUCUACUAAAAAUACAAAAAUUAGCUGGGCAUGGCAGCGGGCACCUGUAAUCCCAGGUACUUGGGAGGCUGAGGCAGGAGAAUUGCUUGAACCCUGGAGGCAGAGGUUGUUAGAAUCCUUUCUACACAAUACAUUUGGCUUAUAGCUGUCCACAGGGUGGACAGAGGUUGGAACGGGAAGGGUUCUAGGCCAAAAUGUUCAGGGGAGGGGUGCUAGGCCAGAAUGUUCGUAUUUAGAAGACACUUUCAAAUUACAGUCUAUGUUAUGUAUAUGCACCAUUUAUUCAAUGCUACUAUGUAUAUAGUGGAAAACCUAAGUCCUCUUUGAAACAUCUAGUCUUUCUAAAUGUUUAAAAGUGCACAACAUAGGUUAGAAGUAGAGGGCUAAAGUGACACCCUUUAAGCAUUUUCUUUAUUACUUUUUAGGAGUGUUUGCAUUUGGAAAUGGAAUGGUUAAACUUGAUGCUUUGGACUGUUCAUAGGGUGAUGGUGGGUGUAGGAGGAGGAAGUAUGCAAAGGGAAGGGUUCUGUGCCCAAGAGUUAGAUUAGUUCACAUGAUCUAACCAUUGUUCUAUAUGCAUUUUAGUUAAUAGUGUUUUGUUUUUUAUUUUUGAUGGAGUUUUGCUCUUGUUGCCCAGGUUGGAGUGCAAUGGUGUGAUCUAGGCUCACUGCAACCUCUGCCUCCUGGGUUCAAGUGGUUCUCCUGCCUCAGCCUCCUGAGUAGCUAGGAUUAUAGGCACACACCACCACACCUGGCUAAUUUUUUUGGUAAUUUUUAGUAGAUUCGGUGUUUCACCAUGUUGGCCGGGCUUGUCUUGAACUC
rnacentral:lncRNA from 1 species